UGCUUAGAUUCUUCGGAUGAAGAGGAUUGUGACUGAGCGGCGGACGGGUGAGUAACGCGUGGGUAACCUGCCUCAUACAGGGGGAUAACAGUUAGAAAUGACUGCUAAUACCGCAUAAGACCACAGCACCGCAUGGUGCGGGGGUAAAAACUCCGGUGGUAUGAGAUGGACCCGCGUCUGAUUAGCUAGUUGGUAAGGUAACGGCUUACCAAGGCGACGAUCAGUAGCCGACCUGAGAGGGUGACCGGCCACAUUGGGACUGAGACACGGCCCAAACUCCUACGGGAGGCAGCAGUGGGGAAUAUUGCACAAUGGGGGAAACCCUGAUGCAGCGACGCCGCGUGAGCGAAGAAGUAUUUCGGUAUGUAAAGCUCUAUCAGCAGGGAAGAAAAUGACGGUACCUAACUAAGAAGCACCGGCUAAAUACGUGCCAGCAGCCGCGGUAAUACGUAUGGUGCAAGCGUUAUCCGGAUUUACUGGGUGUAAAGGGAGCGUAGACGGAUGGGCAAGUCUGAUGUGAAAACCCGGGGCUCAACCCCGGGACUGCAUUGGAAACUGUUCAUCUAGAGUGCUGGAGAGGUAAGUGGAAUUCCUAGUGUAGCGGUGAAAUGCGUAGAUAUUAGGAGGAACACCAGUGGCGAAGGCGGCUUACUGGACAGUAACU
rnacentral:rRNA from 1 species